rnacentral:misc_RNA from 1 species
GAUGAAGAACGCAGCGAAAUGCGAUACGUAAUGUGAAUUCCAAAUUCAGUGAAUCAUCGAGUCUUUGAACGCACAUUGCGCCCCCUGGUAUUCCGGGGGGCAUGCCUGUCCGAGCGUCAUUGCUGCCCUCAAGCACGGCUUGUGUGUUGGGCCCCGUCCUCCGAUCCCGGGGGACGGGCCCGAAAGGCAGCGGCGGCACCGCGUCCGGUCCUCGAGCGUAUGGGGCUUUGUCACCCGCUCUGUAGGCCCGGCCGGCGCUUGCCGAUCAACCCAAAUUUUUAUCCAGGUUGACCUCGGAUCAGGUAUGGAUACCCGCUGAACUUAAGCAUAUCAAUAAGCGGAGGA